CACAAUCCUGUUCCCCACUUGUAUUGGAGUGGACGGCGAUAUCUACUUCUGGGCCACAUGAAAUGACGGACCCCCGUCCACAGCCAGCUUAAACAGCUGCAAUACCAGGCUUGGCCUCUGAGCACUGGUGGAUUGCGGAAGUAUGCGCCUAUCCUGGCCUGGGGGCCUGGGUGACACACGCAUCGGAUUAAACUGUGCAUGUAAAGUACGUUUAAACAAACUAGUACGUUUACAUGCAUGGCAUAUCAGAGAAUUCUGUCAGUUCGGUCGCGGUGCAACGAAUGAAUAAAGAUCGUUAAAGGGGGCCUAUUAUGCUUUUCCGUUUUUUCCUUCUUCUAUUGCGCUUUACAUACGUUUUGGGGUAUAUAAAUGGUUGGCAAAGUUACAAUACCAUAAAAUUCCCGCAAGGGGGAGUAAAUGACUACCGCAAAUCACUGUUACCGAGCUACCUAGAAACCAUGGGCACGGCUCGUUGGGAUUUUCUCCGCGGCUUUCUUUUACUUCCGGUACAUGGUGACGUAAGCAUGUACUUUUACUGGGAGUCAAUAGGAGAGGGUCAUAAAUGACUUUUUGCUGCGUUCCUGGACACGCUGGGGUCGGGGAAAUGGAUCGUAAAACAAGAGUUUGAGUAGAGAAGUAGAUGGACAGAAAGACAUAAUACUAUUUAUAUAUUAUAUAUAUAUAUAUAAUAAUGGCUAGAAGGUGUUUUCUUGGUUGUGAAGGGACCUCUCCCUUGUAUGGUUUGCCAAAGGCAGAGCCUUCACGUAGCCGUUGGCUAGAUUUCAUUUUUAACCCUAUUUAAACUUUACCGAGCCUUUUUCUGUGUCGCCUCCACUUCACGGAUGGCUGCUUCAGCAACCUGCGUGAAGAUGACUCUCAACAUCAGGACUGCAGUGCCCUUAAUCGCCCCUUUCAACACGUUGGAUGCCAGACUGACACGCCUCAGAUUAUAUCGACGGGAACCCAAACAAACUCGCCGGUGGGAAUGCAUUCUUUGGGAAUACAA
ensembl:lncRNA